rnacentral:rRNA from 1 species
GAUGAACGCUGGCGGCGUGCCUAAUACAUGCAAGUCGAGCGAACAGAUGAGGAGCUUGCUCCUCUGACGUUAGCGGCGGACGGGUGAGUAACACGGGGAUAACCUACCUAGAAGACUGGGAUAACUUCGGGAAACCGGAGCUAAUACCGGAUAAUAUAUUGAACCGCAUGGUUCAAUAGUGAAAGACGGUUUUGCUGUCACUUAUAGAUGGAUCCGCGCCGCAUUAGCUAGUUGGUAAGGUAACGGCUUACCAAGGCAACGAUGCGUAGCCGACCUGAGAGGGUGAUCGGCCACACUGGCACUGAGACACGGUCCACACUCCUACGGGAGGCAGCAGUAGGGAAUCUUCCGCAAUGGGCGAAAGCCUGACGGAGCAACGCCGCGUGAGUGAUGAAGGUCUUCGGCUCGUAAAACUCUGUUAUUAGGGAAGAACAAAUGUGUAAGUAAAUAUGCACGUCUUGACGGUACCUAAUCAGAAAGCCACGGCUAACUACGUG